UUAACAUGAUGAAAAACAUUGGUCCGUGUUACUGAGAUGUUGAUGAUUCCAAUUUCUGAUUUU
rnacentral:snoRNA from 1 species